rnacentral:rRNA from 1 species
GGUUUGGCACCUCGAUGUCGGCUCAUCGCAUCCUGGGGCUGGAGAAGGUCCCAAGGGUUGGGCUGUUCGCCCAUUAAAGCGGUACGUGAGCUGGGUUUAGAACGUCGUGAGACAGUUCGGUCCCUAUCUGUCGCGGGCGUAGGAGAUUUGAGGGGAGCUGCUUCUAGUACGAGAGGACCGAAGUGGACGAACCCCUAGUGUACCAGUUGUCUCUCCAGAGGCAUUGCUGGGUAGCUAUGUUCGGAAGGGAUAAGCGCUGAAAGCAUCUAAGUGCGAAGCCCACCUCAAGAUGAAAUCUCCCUUCCCGAUUCGUCGGGACUAAAGGCUCCUCGGAGAUGACGAGGUUGAUAGGCCAUAGGUGUAAGCACAGUAAUGUGUUCAGCCGAAUGGUACUAAUAAGCCGUGAGGCUUAACCAU